rnacentral:rRNA from 1 species
AAACAUGUCUUUUUGAGUUUUAUUUAAAGUCUAGCCUGCCCACUGAAUAAUUUUAAAUGGCCGCAGUAUUUUGACUGUGCAAAGGUAGCAUAAUCAUUAGUCUUUUAAUUGGAGGCUGGUAUGAAUGGUUGGACGAAGUAUAAACUGUUUCAUAUAAAUUUAUUUUAGAAUUUUAUAUUUUAGUUAAAAAGCUAAGAUUUUACUAAAAGACGAGAAGACCCUAUAAAUCUUUAUAUUUAAGUUUCAUUGAAUUUUUUAGAUUUUUUUUAUUCUUUUAAUAUUGAAUAUUUUGUUGGGGUGAUAUUAAAAUUUAAUAAACUUUUAAUUUUUUUUUUCAUUAAUUUAUGAAUUGUUGAUCCAGUUGAUAUUGAUUAUAAGAUUAAGUUACUUUAGGGAUAACAGCGUAAUUUUUUUUGAGAGUUCUUAUCGAUAAAAAAGGUUGCGACCUCGAUGUUGGAUUAAGAGAUAAAUUGGGCGUAGGUGUUCAAGUGUUAAGUCUGUUCGACUUUUAAAUUCUUACAUGAUC